CACUCCUACGGGAGGCAGCAGUGUGGAAUAUUGGACAAUGGGCGCAAGCCUGAUCCAGCCAUGCCGCGUGAGUGAUGAAGGCCCUAGGGUUGUAAAGCUCUUUCACCGGUGAAGAUAAUGACGGUAACCGGAGAAGAAGCCCCGGCUAACUUCGUGCCAGCAGCCGCGGUAAUACGAAGGGGGCUAGCGUUGUUCGGAUUUACUGGGCGUAAAGCGCACGUAGGCGGACUAUUAAGUCAGGGGUGAAAUCCCGGGGCUCAACCCCGGAACUGCCUUUGAUACUGGUAGUCUUGAGUUCGAGAGAGGUGAGUGGAAUUCCGAGUGUAGAGGUGAAAUUCGUAGAUAUUCGGAGGAACACCAGUGGCGAAGGCGGCUCACUGGCUCGAUACUGACGCUGAGGUGCGAAAGCGUGGGGAGCAAACAGGAUUAGAAACCCUGGUAGUCCCA
rnacentral:rRNA from 1 species